rnacentral:lncRNA from 1 species
CUGAGCAUAAUAAGCAACCUUACUUUCCUAAAUCUUUUCUUAAUUCAAAACAACCUGCAUUUUCCUUUUCUAUAACCUUGGUAAGAAAAUCUGAGCUAUCCAAAUUGGCCCAGUCUGAAAUCAAUUGUUUGACAAGCAAAUAAUACUGUGGCAACAUAUUACCAAGGCAUGACUGUAUUUUAAAGAGAUCUAUAUCAUCUCCAGACAUCAAACCUGCCUCAUCCUUCCAACACUUGUAAAAUUUCUUUACAAAAAUCAUAUUACCAAUCUCUUCCUUUGCAUCUUGCUUAUAUGCCAAAGCAGUGAAUAUAGACUGCUUAUUCUUCCAUAAUCCCAACAUUUCAGCUUCCACCUUGUUCCAAAUUUUAGCACAUCUUACUGAAGUACUAAGCUCAUAAUCACCAAUUCAUUUCAAACCAUAUAACUCAUACUCAGCAUCCCAUGUAAUAUUACACGUCAUCUCACAAAACAAUAUCUUUGUAGAAACACAUAAUGGGUACCCAGCAGAUAUGCCAAUACAGAAAUCACAUUUAUGGGCACACAACUACACACUCUGUCUCCCUCCUAGGAAACACGGAUACACACAAUAUAAAAGCAAUCUUAAACUAACACCUCCAAAUCUCCAACUAUUCUUGGCCAAAACGCUAGUAUUCAACAACUAAUAAAACAGUUAUUUGCUAGGUUAUUUGGCUGUCAUUCUUAUCAGUAUCACUAGACUGUGACAAACUGAUUCACAUAUAAUUUAAAACAAUACAGCAACAUAUACAUUAAACCACUUUCAAGUUAAACUGCACACUUCACACAUUAUCACAAUCACCAUUUACACAAAAUAAACAGUUAACAGCUGUAUUCAGAACAUAUUAUUGGAAGGUAUACCAAUUUUAGUUUAGAUUUAUUUUAGGGAUUCUUAUGUGUACAUUUUCUUAAUUAACUUCAUUACUUUAAUCUACUAUAGUAUUGUAUUUAAAGAAAGGAUCCAUUUAUAUAGCGCGCUCAUAACUCAACUAUUUGUAUAAAACUACCAUUAACUAAUCUGAGAUGAUGCUGCAUCAACUUAAAUUUUACAGAAAUUGAACAAACAUCUGGACCAGAUUAAACAGACAUGGUUUCACCUGAAUCUUUCAGAACUCUCAGAGACUUAAAAAAAUUAUACUAUACCAUGUUUUAAAGGCAUGGCAAACCUUUAGACCGGUCAGUCUCCAAGAGCCCUUUGUAAUACAGGUAAAAACCCUUUGUCCAUGAUGUCUGAUUCAGGCUAUAUACCACAAUUUAAAAAUAACACAUAAUGUGAGACAUAGAAGACACAAGCACUAGUUAUUACACUGGAUCAUUUAAAAGGAACCUGUUGCAAUAAAAAGGUUAGUUUACAGCGCAAAAUAAAGCAUGUGUUGGACCGCUGAAAAUGUAAAUGUUGCUCUGUUAUUUUCAAACAAAAAUUAUAUUUACAGUAUGGAUCCUUUGCAACAAACACACAGGGCAGGGAAGAUGUGCUGAUUGGUGUUUCUAUACAAUUAAUCCCAUAUGGGGAAUUAACUUUCAAAUACUAAUGAAAUGACUUUUUGUCUCAGUUAUAAAAUAUACUGAGCUCAUCAUGCAAACAAUGCAACACAUUUACACUAUCC